rnacentral:misc_RNA from 1 species
AAGGAUCAUUACAAGUAAAUACGUGUUCCUAGGAAUAUGAAUUUUCAAACCCCUCUGUGUACCUUACCUGUUGCUUCCGUGCUGCGUGGACUUUGGUCCCCUCCCUCGCUGGAGUGCCGGCACGGCUAACAAAACUCAUGCAUUUCAUGUCAUCUGUCUGAACUGAUAAAUACAAAAAGUUAAAACUUUCAACAACGGAUCUCUUGGUUCUC